rnacentral:lncRNA from 1 species
AUCGAGGUGCUCUGCGAGAACUUCCCAGAGGAGAUGGCCACGUACCUGCGCUAUGUGCGGCGCCUGGACUUCUUCGAGAAGCCCGACUAUGACUACCUGCGGAAGCUCUUCACCGACCUCUUCGACCGCAGUGGCUUCGUGUUCGACUAUGACCGACCCCCAUCGGCACCGUCCACACCGACCUGCCCUCCCAGCCUCAGCUCCGGGACAAAACCCAGCCGCACAGCAAAAACCAGGCGUUGAACUCCACCAACGGGGAGCUGAAUGCGGACGACCCCACGGCCGGCCACUCCAACGCCCCGAUCACAGCGCCUGCAGAGGUGGAGGUGGCCGAUGAAACCAA